rnacentral:rRNA from 1 species
AAGUUGAGUUUGGUGAUGGCUCUGAUUGAAUGCUGUCCAAGUGCUUGACACAUGCUAAUCGUACGUUUUAAUUGUACUUACCCUAUAUGUAAAUAUAAGGCAUAUAUAAUUAAAAAGUGGUGUACAGGUGAGUAUAAUGAUAUUCUUCGCCGGCCUUAAAGUGAAGGUAAAUCCUUCAUAAUAAAUAAAGGAAUAAGAGGGAUGAAAAGAAACAAAUCGGAUGAUUCAUAAAUCGUCCCUACCCCUUCUUUAUAUUUCCGCUUUAAGAGGAUAAUAAAUAUCUUCGAGAUAGGUAGUAGUUAAGGUGAUGACUUAACUAGCCUUAGACUCUCGUAGUCGAAGCUGAAAGGUUGAUCGACCACAUUGGGUCUGAAAAAACCCCAAUGCAAGUUAGUACAGCAGUGAGGAAUCUUGGUCAAUGGCCUAACGGCUGAACUGGCAACUUGGAGAAGUGGCAAGUUUUAUAAUUAAUAGUAAUUAAUAUUUCUAUUUUUAUAAAAUUCUAUUAGAAUUGAAUGAAGCUUUGUUUAUAUAUUGAUAAUGACAGUAUAUAUAUCGUGUCUUGACUAAUUGCGUGCCAGCAGUCGCGGUAAUACGUAAGAGACUAGUGUUAUUCAUCUUAAUUAGGUUUAAAGGGUACCCAGACGGUCAAUAUAUCUUCUAUAAUGUUAGUACUUGACUAGAGUUUUAUGUAAGAGGGCAGUACUUGAGGAGGAGAGAUGAAAUUUCGUGAUACCAAAGGGACUCUGUAAAGGCGAAGGCAGCCCUCUAUGUAGAAACUGACGUUGAAGGACGAAGGCACAGAGAACAAACAGGAUUAGAUACCCAAGUAGUCUUUGCAGUAAAUGAUGAAUGCCAUAGGUCAGAUCUAAAUUUAAUGUUUAUAUAUUAUAAAAGCGCCUGAAUUGGCAACUUUGCAAAAAAUUAUAAAUAUUCAAAAUUAUUUGGUCUAUAAAUGAAAGUGUAAGCAUUUCACCUCAAGAGUAAUGUGGCAACGCAGGAACUGAAAUCACUAGACCGUUUCUGACACCAGUAGUGAAGUAUGUUGUUUAAUUCGAUGAUCCACGAAAAACCUUACCACAAUUUGAAUAAUUUUAUUACAGGAGUUGCACGGCUGUUUCCAGUUAAUGUUGUGAAACUGUGGUUUCCAUGAAAUUAACGUAAUCCCUGGCUUUAUUUUUGUAAGCUUAAUACAGCUAUUACGAUAAAGCAUUCGAUCCUGAAAAUUUGGAAAGAGAAAGGGGACAAAGACAAGUCAUCAUGGCCUUGAUAUUGUGGGCUAUAGACGUGCCACAUAUACCUAAACAAAGAGAUGCAAAAAUGUGAAUUUAAGCUAAUCUCAAAAAAUAGGAUAUAAAUUUUAAGGAUUAUAGUCUGAAAUUCGACUAUAUGAAUAAGUAAUUACUAGUAAUCGUGAAUCACCAUGUCACGGUGAAUAGACCUUGGAUUGGUACUAACCACUCGUCACAUGCUGAAAGGAGCAUGCGCAAUAAGUUUGCUUUCUUAGUAAUAAGUAAAAAAAACAAGUAAGUUUUAUAUAUUCUUUUAUUGGGAAUCUUCGUAUGCGUGGCUCUAAUUAGUGUUAAGUCGAAAUACGGUUCGUGUAGUGGAAGUUGCACGGGAUUAAUUAAUUUUAACCAUAAUAAAAACAUAUAGUAUA